AGACAGGUGUCAGCAGCCGCGGUAAUACGAAGGGUGCAAGCGUUACUCGGAAUUACUGGGCGUAAAGCGUGCGUAGGUGGUUGUUUAAGUCUGUUGUGAAAGCCCUGGGCUCAACCUGGGAAUUGCAGUGGAUACUGGGCGACUAGAGUGUGGUAGAGGGUAGUGGAAUUCCCGGUGUAGCAGUGAAAUGCGUAGAGAUCGGGAGGAACAUCCAUGGCGAAGGCAGCUACCUGGACCAACACU
rnacentral:rRNA from 1 species